rnacentral:rRNA from 1 species
AACGAACGCUGGCGGCAUGCCUAACACAUGCAAGUCGAACGAGACCUUCGGGUCUAGUGGCGCACGGGUGCGUAACGCGUGGGAACCUGCCCUUAGGUUCGGAAUAACUCCCCGAAAGGGGUGCUAAUACCGGAUAAUGUCUUCGGACCAAAGAUUUAUCGCCUUUAGAUGGGCCCGCGUUGGAUUAGCUAGUUGGUAGGGUAAAAGCCUACCAAGGCGACGAUCCAUAGCUGGUCUGAGAGGAUGAUCAGCCACACUGGGACUGAGACACGGCCCAGACUCCUACGGGAGGCAGCAGUGGGGAAUAUUGGACAAUGGGCGAAAGCCUGAUCCAGCAAUGCCGCGUGAGUGAUGAAGGCCUUAGGGUUGUAAAGCUCUUUUACCCGGGAUGAUAAUGACAGUACCGGGAGAAUAAGCUCCGGCUAACUCCGU